UACAGAGGGUGCGAGCGUUGUCCGGAAUCACUGGGCGUAAAGGGCGCGUAGGUGGCGCGACAAGUCAGUGGUGAAAGUUCGACGCUCAACGUCGAAUCGGCCACUGAUACUGUUGGGCUUGAGCACUGUAGAGGCUAAUGGAAUUCCGGUGUAGCGGUGGAAUGCGUAGAGAUCCGGAAGACACCGGUGGCGAAGGCGGUUAGCUGGGCAGUUGCUGACACUGAGGCGCGGACAGCGUGGGAGCAACAGG
rnacentral:rRNA from 1 species